GAGGUGUGCUCAGAGCAGGGGGCCUGAAGAAUGGCUCCUCUGUUUAUAACACACCCAACAGGAAUCUGGAGUCAUUGUGAUGAGAGGCAUGAAGCUUGUGGCCUCCCUACAAACAAAUGCUCUACAUGU
ensembl:snoRNA small nucleolar RNA, H/ACA box 11F